rnacentral:misc_RNA from 1 species
GGAAAAUUUUCAAAAAAUUGAAAAAUUCAAGGCUGAGAUUCAACCCAAUAUAUAUAUAUAUAACAAGACAAUUUGAAAUCAAAAAACACUAAGCAUUUUGUCCCAAAUUUCCCAUUAAAAAAUAUCAUAAUUUGGACAAAGCUCUAAUACUUCCACCCAUUUAAAAUGAAAAAGAAAAAACAGAAUUUGGACACAGCAUUAGCUUAAUAUGUACAUUCCAUUCUGUGUACUCUGUCCCUUAAAAUUCCAUUGUAGAGAGCAAUCCU